GUGGGGAAUCUUAGACAAUGGGCGCAAGCCUGAUCUAGCCAUGCCGCGUGAGCGAUGAAGGCCUUAGGGUUGUAAAGCUCUUUCAGCUGGGAAGAUAAUGACGGUACCAGCAGAAGAAGCCCCGGCUAACUCCGUGCCAGCAGCCGCGGUAAUACGGAGGGGGCUAGCGUUGUUCGGAAUUACUGGGCGUAAAGCGCACGUAGGCGGACCGGAAAGUCAGAGGUGAAAUCCCAGGGCUCAACCUUGGAACUGCCUUUGAAACUCCUGGUCUUGAGGUCGAGAGAGGUGAGUGGAAUUCCGAGUGUAGAGGUGAAAUUCGUAGAUAUUCGGAGGAACACCAGUGGCGAAGGCGGCUCACUGGCUCGAUACUGACGCUGAGGUGCGAAAGCGUGGGGAGCAAACAGGAUUAGAAACCCUGGUAGUCC
rnacentral:rRNA from 1 species